AUUGAACGCUGGCGGAAUGCUUUACACAUGCAAGUCGAACGGUAGAGGGGGCAACCCCUCGAGAGUGGCGAACGGGUGAGUAAUAUAUCGGAACGUGCCCAGUCGUGGGGGAUAACGUAGCGAAAGUUACGCUAAUACCGCAUACAAUCUAAGGAUGAAAGCGGGGGAUCGCAAGACCUCGCGCGAUUGGAGCGGCCGAUAUCAGAUUAGGUAGUUGGUGGGGUAAAGGCUCACCAAGCCAACGAUCGGUAGCUGGUCUGAGAGGACGACCAGCCACACUUGACCUGAGACACGGUCCAGACUCCUACGGGAGGCAGCAGUGGGGAAUUUUGGACAAUGGACGCAAGUCUGAUCCAGCCAUUCCGCGUGCAGGAUGAAGGCCCUCGGGUUGUAAACUGCUUUUGUACGGAACGAAAAGGUCUCUCUUAAUACGGGGGACUCAUGACGGUACCGUAAGAAUAAGCACCGGCUAACUACGUGCCAGCCGCCGCAGUAA
rnacentral:rRNA from 1 species